UAAUACGAAGGUCCCAAGCGUUAUCCGGAUUUAUUGGGUUUAAAGGGUGCGUAGGCGGGUUAUUAAGUCAGUGGUGAAAGCUCCAUGCCUAACAUGGAAAUUGCCAUUGAUACUGAUGAUCUUGAGUACAUUUGAAGUGGGCGGAAUGUGUCAUGUAGUGGUGAAAUACUUAGAUAUGACACAGAACACCGAUUGCGUAGGCAGCUCACUAAACUGUAACUGACGCUGAGGCACGAAAGCGUGGGGAGCAAACAGGAUUAGAUACCCUGGUAGUCCACGCCCUAAACGAUGAUCACUCGAUGUGUGCAAUACACCGUACGCGUCCAAGCGAAAGCAUUAAGUGAUCCACCUGGGGAGUACGGUCGCAAGACUG
rnacentral:rRNA from 1 species